AGAGUUUGAUCCUGGCUCAGGACGAACGCUGGCGGCGUGCCUAAUACAUGCAAGUCGAGCGGACAGAUGGGAGCUUGCUCCCUGAUGUUAGCGGCGGACGGGUGAGUAACACGUGGGUAACCUGCCUGUAAGACUGGGAUAACUCCGGGAAACCGGGGCUAAUACCGGAUGGUUGUUUGAACCGCAUGGUUCAGACAUAAAAGGUGGCUUCGGCUACCACUUACAGAUGGACCCGCGGCGCAUUAGCUAGUUGGUGAGGUAACGGCUCACCAAGGCAACGAUGCGUAGCCGACCUGAGAGGGUGAUCGGCCACACUGGGACUGAGACACGGCCCAGACUCCUACGGGAGGCAGCAGUAGGGAAUCUUCCGCAAUGGACGAAAGUCUGACGGAGCAACGCCGCGUGAGUGAUGAAGGUUUUCGGAUCGUAAAGCUCUGUUGUUAGGGAAGAACAAGUGCCGUUCAAAUAGGGCGGCACCUUGACGGUACCUAACCAGAAAGCCACGGCUAACUACGUGCCAGCAGCCGCGGUAAUACGUAGGUGGCAAGCGUUGUCCGGAAUUAUUGGGCGUAAAGGGCUCGCAGGCGGUUUCUUAAGUCUGAUGUGAAAGCCCCCGGCUCAACCGGGGAGGGUCAUUGGAAACUGGGGAACUUGAGUGCAGAAGAGGAGAGUGGAAUUCCACGUGUAGCGGUGAAAUGCGUAGAGAUGUGGAGGAACACCAGUGGCGAAGGCGACUCUCUGGUCUGUAACUGACGCUGAGGAGCGAAAGCGUGGGGAGCGAACAGGAUUAGAUACCCUGGUAGUCCACGCCGUAAACGAUGAGUGCUAAGUGUUAGGGGGUUUCCGCCCCUUAGUGCUGCAGCUAACGCAUUAAGCACUCCGCCUGGGGAGUACGGUCGCAAGACUGAAACUCAAAGGAAUUGACGGGGGCCCGCACAAGCGGUGGAGCACGUGGUUUAAUUCGAAGCAACGCGAAGAACCUUACCAGGUCUUGACAUCCUCUGACAAUCCUAGAGAUAGGACGUCCCCUUCGGGGGCAGAGUGACAGGUGGUGCAUGGUUGUCGUCAGCUCGUGUCGUGAGAUGUUGGGUUAAGUCCCGCAACGAGCGCAACCCUUGAUCUUAGUUGCCAGCAUUCAGUUGGGCACUCUAAGGUGACUGCCGGUGACAAACCGGAGGAAGGUGGGGAUGACGUCAAAUCAUCAUGCCCCUUAUGACCUGGGCUACACACGUGCUACAAUGGACAGAACAAAGGGCAGCGAAACCGCGAGGUUAAGCCAAUCCCACAAAUCUGUUCUCAGUUCGGAUCGCAGUCUGCAACUCGACUGCGUGAAGCUGGAAUCGCUAGUAAUCGCGGAUCAGCAUGCCGCGGUGAAUACGUUCCCGGGCCUUGUACACACCGCCUGUCACACCACGAGAGUUUGUAACACCCGAAGUCGGUGAGGUAACCUUUAUGGAGCCAGCCGCCGAAGGUGGGACAGAUGAUUGGGGUGAAGUCGUAACAAGGUAACC
rnacentral:rRNA from 1 species